ACCUCUUUAACUCAGUGGUAGAGCACUGGUUUCGUAAACCAGGGGUCGUGAGUUCAUACCUCACAGGAGGCA
rnacentral:tRNA from 1 species